rnacentral:RNase_P_RNA from 1 species
UCUGGACAAACGCUGUAUAACUUGUUUAUAUAGAGGAAAGUCCACACUCGCACUAUCCUGAGAUGGUAGUAGUGUUUGUGCUUAGGGAAAAAAUAACCUAAGGGAGUUUUACUUACGGCUAAAAUUGAUUCUAAGGGAUACUAUGAUGAUAUUUUAAUAAAGUGCCACAGAAACGAGUUUAUUUAGAAAUAAAUAAAAUGAAACGCGGUAAACCCCACAAGCGAGAAACCCAAAUUAUGGUAGGGGAACUAUUAGAGGGGAAAUGAACCUAAUAAUGGAUACUUAUAGUAUAGAUAAAUGUUUGUCACCUUUUAGGUACAGAAUGUGGCUUAUAG